GACGAACGCUGGCGGCGCGCUUAAUACAUGCAAGUCGAGCGAGAACCGGAGCUUCGGCUCCGGGGACAGCGGCGAACGGGUGAGUAACACGUGGGUAACCUGCCCUUGGCACCGGGAUAGCCCGGGGAAACCCGGAUUAAUACCGGAUGGCCCUUUCGGUCUUCGGACCGGUCGGGAAAGGUAGCUUCGGCCUCCGGCCGAGGAUGGGCCCGCGGCGGAUUAGCUUGUUGGUGGGGUAACGGCUCACCAAGGCUCCGAUCCGUAGCUGGUCUGAGAGGACGCUCAGCCACACUGGGACUGGGACACGGCCCAGACUCCUACGGGAGGCAGCAGUAGGGAAUCUUGCGCAAUGGGCGAAAGCCUGACGCAGCGACGCCGCGUGCGGGAAGACGGCCUUCGGGUUGUAAACCGCUUUCAGGAGGGACGAAGCCACUCGGGUGAACAGCCCAGAGGGUGACGGUACCUCCAGAAGAAGCCCCGGCUAACUACGUGCCAGCCGCCGCGGUAACAC
rnacentral:rRNA from 1 species